rnacentral:rRNA from 1 species
UACAGAGGUCUCAAGCGUUUGUUCGGAUUCAUUGGGCGUAAAGGGUGCGUAGGCGGCGCCGUAAGUCAGGUGUGAAAUUUCGGAGCUUAACUCCGAAACUGCAUUUGAUACUGCGGUGCUUGAGGACUGGAGAGGAGACUUGGAAUUUACGGUGUAGCAGUGAAAUGCGUAGAGAUCGUAAGGAAGACCAGGUGGCGAAGGCGGGUCUCUGGACAG